CCGCCAAAGUGGGAGCCCAGGCAGAGGAGGCGCCGAGAGCGAGCGAGGGCUGUGAGGACUGCCAGCACGCUGACACCUCUCACCGCCAUUUGCCAGGUCCAGAGUUCUUGUCCUACAUCCAGGAAGAAUGAAGUACGUGGACAACUGGAAAGACUGAUUCCUUAUCCAACAUCACUUUCUGGACUACCUAGAAUCCAACUAUCAUGUCUUUCACCAAGAUGUCAUCUUGUGGGCUAGUCCGUUGGACCUACUUGACCAAUCAGACACUAUCCUAAUCUCCAUAAUGUGAUACCUCCUGAGAGGCAGCCAUUUGACACAGACACUUUUCUCAGUUUGCUCAGGCUCCAACGCCAUGAUCUGCUAUGCAACUCUCUCCACAGUCUCCAUCAUGGAUACCUGCCUUUUAUUCCAACACCUAAUGUUUUAGUAUUAAAUCAUUCCAUAUGAUAAGAGUAGAGAGGUGAAAGAGGAAGACUCAUUCAACGGAAGUUGAUCUGCUGUGUUUUCACAAUUAUUCCAUACAUAACAUUUUCUAAUAUCUUUGUUACUUCUUUUUUUGACUCAGUUACAUAGAAAUAUUUUUCUUAAUUUCCAAAUAUAUGAGUAUAUUCCUUAUAAUUUUGCUAUUGAUCUUUAAUCUCAUUCCAUUGAUUUUAAAGAUUGUUCUCUUUAAGACUGCAAUACAUUGAAUUUGUUAGGCCUUUCUAUUGCCUAUCAUAUGGUCACAUUUGGUGAAUUUUCAAUGUGCUCUUGAGGGAAAAAAAAAGUGUAUUCUAGAGUUGAUUCGUUUAAUGCAGUAUAAAUAAUAUUAUGUUAUGUUAUUUUAAUUUUUCUGAAUACUUAGUGAUUUUUAAAAAACCAUCCAUACCGAUUUCCAAGAAGGAGUAUUAAAACCUCCACUAGUAAUUGUGGAUGUGCCUAUAUCUGUUUUUAGUUGUCUCCAAUUUUGAAUUUUUUAUCUUUAGUAUGGAAAAAUAAGCAUUUUUAUUUCUUGUAAAAAUUAAUUAUUUAUUAUAAAAUAUCCGUUUUUAUUAAUGGCAAAUAUCUUUGUCUUGAUGCCUACUUUAUCUGAUAUUCAAAAAAACCAGCCUGGCUUCUUUAUGCUUACUAUUUCAAAAUAUAUCUUUUCUACCCUUUUACUUUCAUUCUCCCAGUGUCUUCAUAUUUAAAGAAAUUAAAAAAUAGGAAAUGUAUAUGUAUAUACAUAUAAUACAUAUUUCCACUUAUAGUGAACAUUUGUUAACAUUUUCAGUGCUUUGUUUCAUUAUUGUGUUUGUUUCUGUUGACUAUAUUUUUCUUUUGGUUAUAUGUCUCAUUUAUCUUCUUUUUUCCGUAUCUCAAUUUUGUUUGUCUAUGCUGGCAUUGGAGGUUCUAAAUUGUUGAGAGUCUGGAUUUAAUUUUAUUUCUUUAGAGAGUUUUGAAAUUUGUUCUAGAAGACAAUUAAUUUAGUGGUGAAUUAGCUCUGUCUUGUGAAGGCUUAUGUUUAGCUCUGACACUGCUGGUCUAAAGCACUGCACUUAAAACGAGACCUUCCUGGGACCACAAUUGAUUGUCUAGAUAAUGAGUGAGGUUGUUGUUCUCUAGCUGAUUUUAGGUAUAAUGUCUCUGAUCACCGUGAGACUCUAGAGUUUUUACAUACCUCACAACCUUUUAGUAGGCUGUUCGCCGAGCUGAUAUCUGUUAUCUCCCAUACUUUAUGGAGUUUCACAUUGAAUAUUUUCAAUUUAAUAAUGGACCAAAGAGUCAAAAAGACCUAUUCAAACUUUUGGAGCUUCUUUUUUUCAUAGUUAUCUCAUCUCUGGUACUCUGCCCUGCAAAUUCCAGCUACAUCAGCAAACCAGAAUGCAGCUCUCUUUUAUGUUGUUCUGUUUUAAACGUAUUUCUCUGUACUGAAGUUUAGAAAACGACUCCAUGUGGACAACCAGGGUAAUUGUGGCACUCACCUAAAACGUUUCUCUUAUUUCAACGAUAGUGCUUUUAUGAUCUUUGUUGUGUAAUGUACAAAAAAAAAGUUUAAUGUCAUCUACCAUGUUUUAUAAAUGUAUGCGAUGUGAGAGUGAGGACGACACCCUCUACUCUGUCCUUGCUGGAAUUGGAAGUCAACCAUUAAGUCUUAAUUAAGCCUUUCUCUUCAGCUUUCUUGUCUUCCCUCCUUAUAUUAUCUCUCUAUGCGAUGUCAUUCUUCAAUAAAUCACAUCUCAAUCUAACUUCAGUCUUAAUUAGAGCCUUGAGUUAUCGAACCCUAUAUCUAGGUUUUUACUGAAAAUUUCCACUUGCAUUGUCUACUAGAAAAUCAAACAUAACAUGUUGAUUCCAAAAUUAUUGCCUUUUCCACUGAUUUCAUUGUCCUACUUCAGUUCAUUUUAUUAUUGACUUCUCCUUCAAUCCAACUAAAAUCUCUGAGAUCAAAAUAUAAUCCAUCUCUCAUAGUCCCUGAUGACAACACAUUUUCAAGUAUUAUUAAUUUUUUUCUUUGUGAUAUAUUUCACAUCUGCUAUUAUAGUUGUUAGGAGACUUUAAUUAUAUGUAACAAACACACUGACACUAAUGUGGUGGAAAUUUCCUCAAAGUUAUAUGUUGUUUAAUGUAAUAAAAUACAAGGAAUGCAUUCAUAGUUAGAAAAUGGGGUAAAAUAUUGAAGGAGAAUGUAGUCCAAACCCUUUACUUUCACAUGCACAUACACAGACACACACAAACACACACACAUGCACAGACACAUAAAUAUAUGUACACACAUACAUAUUUACUCUUCUUUGAUUAUCUGCUUCAUUUCUUUUACUGCACGUGAUCUUUCUUUACUCCACUCUUCAAGUGGAAUAAAAUGGCCAUCCAGAAAACCAAAGUUUACACAGCAACAUUAAAAGGACAGAAUUAUAAACAAAUGUGUUAGCCCAAGUCUAAGUUCAUAAGAAAGAAUGCCAUUAACCUAGAUUAUAUAGUAUUAUCUCUACAGGUAAAGGUCUGGAAGAAUGCCAAUAUUGCUCGGAUUGGCUACCAAAAGUCAUCUUUGUACAUGCAUAGCAGUGUUGGGUAGGAUAUUAUAUUGUAAUAGGCAGAAAAUUAAUAGGUAUUUAUGACUUUUUACCUCCUAAAUGCUCACAAUAUACGUAUAAACGUUUUCCAUAUUGUCAAAUAAAUCUUCAACCAAUUUUCUCAUAUAGAAGAAACUUCCAUUUUAAAACUUCUUGCAAUCUAUCAAGUGUUA
rnacentral:lncRNA from 1 species